CUUACCCUCUCACACAAUAAUGAUAAUAUGGGUGAGUCUAGAAGGCUCCUCAGGGAUAGCCUGAAUUCAGGGGUCCCCCACCCCACCCGAACCUAAGCUGCCCAGCCCACUAAAUCGUGUUAAUUCACAGACCCUGGUGGCUUCUGCUCAGGAGCCCCCCCCCAUCACCAUUACCUACACCUGAAGAAUUCAACUCCUUGACUGUCAGCUCAGCUUCACCCCUCUCUGGAGCCAAGGGCUGCAUCUGCAUGAGAGAACCCCCAGAAGGCAGCUGAGAAGGGAGCCCAGAAGCUGGAAGCUGAGGAAGAGAGCUGCGGAAUCACUGGUGCAAUCCUUCAGCCAUGAAGAAGUGUGUGGCCCUUCCCACUCCCUUCUUACCAGAGACAGCUCCAUGUCCAAAUCCAUCAAGGUCCAUUCCUGUCCUUGCAGGCUAGGGCCCAGCACCUGGGAAGAGCUCAACUGAGACCUGACAUCUUGGAAGAGGUCCCUUUCCUAUUUUGUCUCACCUUGCGGCGCACGCGCUCCAGUAGCUGCUCACGGCCCCGCACGAAGCUUGGAUGGUGGAACUCAACGUAAUCACGCUCUGGUCUGAGCAGGCCACCUUGCUCAAUGCUCACCACCUUCCGAAAGCCG